rnacentral:rRNA from 1 species
UACGUAGGGACCGAGCGUUGUCCGGAUUUAUUGGGCGUAAAGAGCUCGUAGGCGGCUCAGGAAGUCGGCCGUGAAAUCCCGAGGCUCAACCUCGGAACUGCGGUCGAAACUCCUGUGGCUAGGGUUCGGUAGAGGAGAGCGGAAUUCUCGGUGUAGCGGUGAAAUGCGCAGAUAUCGAGAGGAACACCAGCAGCGAAAGCGGCUCUCUGGGCCGAUACCGACGCUGAGGAGCGAAAGCGUGGGGAGCGAACAGG